ACUGCUUCUCAGACUUUGGGCUAGGAUCAAGUGUAGUAUCUGUUCUUACUAGUGUGAAACCAGACCUGAGGAGAGGCUUUUCAAAAAUUCUGUAGCCACUUAUAUUUUUCUCAUUAAUUAGCUAAUUAUCAAUUCAUAUCCUUUUUUAAUCUUUUGGGGCAUUCCUUUAGUAAUCAGCAAAACAAAU